rnacentral:misc_RNA from 1 species
AAGUCGUAACAAGGUUUCCGUAGGUGAACCUGCGGAAGGAUCAUUUCUGUUCCAACCUUUUUCUUCCCUUUCUGGCUUCAUUCUCCCUUGUAAUAGAGGGGGUUUAGAGUUGGAGAAGGAGAAAAAUAGAGAUUGUGUGGUUUAAAUGCUUUCUACGUGGGAUUCUGCCUUUCUAUUCUUCUGCUUUGAACCUCCUAAUCCUUCUGAUUCGUCGGAAGGAAAUAGGUGGGGAAUAAGUAUGGGAAAUAAAGGGGUAGGUUCCAUAUAGAAACUCCAUUUUUCAUAUAUAAAAAAAUCACGAUGAUUACUAUUGUAACCAACCGAGAGCAAGGUGUUUUUUUUCUGAUCUCUUGAAAAAGGGAAUAGGGGAAAAUGCUUUGAAUUUCACAAAUAUAAACGACAUACAACUGUCAACGGUGGAUCUCUUGGCUCGU